rnacentral:rRNA from 1 species
AACCUUUAGCCCCAAACAAGUAUUAAAGGCAACGCCUGCCCAGUGAACAAUUAAACGGCCGCGGUACCCUAACCGUGCAAAGGUAGCGUAAUCACUUGUCUAUUAAUUGUAGACCCGUAUGAAAGGCAAAAUGAGGGCCUAACUGUCUCUUAUAAUAAAUCAAUUAAACUGAUCUCCCAGUCCAAAAGCUGGGAUGUUAACAUAAGACCAGAAGACCCUGUGAAGCUUAAACUAAACUAUUAAAACACAUAAUAGCUCCUUUCGGUUGGGGCGACCUUGGAAAAAAAAAGAACUUCCAAACACCAACGACACUACCUCGCGCACAAACGGCCAACAAGCCAAAAAUCGACCCAGCAUAGCUGACAAUUGAACCAAGUUACUCCAGGGAUAACAGCGCUAUCUUCCUCAAGAGCCCAUAUCAAAAGGAAGGUUUACGACCUCGAUGUUGGAUCAGGACAUCCUAAUGGUGCAGCCGCUAUUAAGGGUUCGUUUGUUCAACGAUUAACAGUCCU